rnacentral:piRNA from 1 species
UAAGACUUGGCCCUUACUCUUGAGG